rnacentral:rRNA from 1 species
UACGUAGGUGGCAAGCGUUGUCCGGAAUUAUUGGGCGUAAAGCGCGCGCAGGUGGUUUCUUAAGUCUGAUGUGAAAGCCCACGGCUCAACCGUGGAGGGUCAUUGGAAACUGGGGAACUUGAGUGCAGGAGAGAAGAGUGGAAUUCCACGUGUAGCGGUGAAAUACGUAGAGAUGCGGAGGAACACCGAUGGCGAAGGCAGCCCCCUGGGCUAACACUGACGCUCAGGCACGAAAGCGUGGGGAGCAAACAGG